CCCACCCCACCCCCAUGCUGGCUCGGCAGGCAUGCCAAUAGUUUGCCAUUAUUGGGCUCUUCUGGUUUUCUGGCUCUAACUCUAAUGGAACCUAUCUAUGCCUUAGUUAGGGCAGCUUGGUGGCCUGGAGUUAGGAAGACUCAUCUUCCUGGGUUCAAAUCUAGCCUGAGACAUUUACUGACUGUGUAACCCUGGGCAAGUCACUUCACUCUAUUGGCCUCAGUUUCCUCCUCUGUAAAAUGAGCCAGAGAAGGACAUGGCAAACCACUCUGGCGUCUCUGCCAAGAAAACCCCAAAUAGGAUCACGAAGAGUGAAAAUAUAACAACAAAACGCCUUAUUUCUUGACCUCAAAGAUUUAACCUUAUAGGAGCAUCCUUCAGACCCCAGACUUCCUUGGGAAGGAAUGGUGCCUCCAGAGACAGGCAACCAGUCUGCCUUCCCUUGUCUGUAGGACCAGCCUUCGCUUUGAACUCCUCUGGCUGAGAAGAGGCCUAUUCUCACGUCGGGAGCUCCCUCUAGCGGACAAACGCCAGCCUGACAUCGGGGAUAGAAACUGGUUCUUUCCUGCUCGAGAGCAGGACUUGGAGAAGAGCUCCUGAAAUGUCUUCAGAAGAUGCUGACGUGUCUCCGAGGGCUAUGGGAUGAGGGGGACGUGUAGCAAUCUCGAGGGAGAACUUGCCACAAGCGUGCCGGAUCUCAAGAGUUUCUCCAAAUGCCAAGCCCGUCUGGAAGGGUCGGAGCCGCGGCGCCCAGGCGGAGGGGCAGCAAGCAGGUGUCUGAGAGGGAUCCGAGACAUCCCCAGAAUGCCAAGGGAGUCAACGAUUCAAAACAGGGGAACACUCUGCCCCACCCAGGAGAAGCUGAUCACCAGAAAUCUCAUCACCAUGGAGAAUAAAUGAAUGGUGGAGAGCUGAGCAUUAAACUCCUUCUUCAAAGUCUUCCUUUAUAGAGGACUCACCAUCUUUCUAAUAACUCUAUUUUCCAUCAGCAACUCUGCAUGACUUUGACUCCAACUCCAAGAACACCAUGAGGAACACCAUGAAUUCUCACCAGGUACCUCCUGGUGGCCUUACCCUUACCUCCCUUCUCUGUUCAGCUUUCUUUUGUGUGCUAUCUUCUAAUGCAGAAGACACUUAAUAAAUGUUUAUUAAUUGAGUUAAAUUUGAGAUCU
rnacentral:lncRNA from 1 species